rnacentral:rRNA from 2 species
CAACCUACCGGUAACUGGGAUCCGAAUCGACGAAGUCUUCGGACUUAGUGGCAGACGGGUGAGUAACGCGUGGGAACCUACCUUUAGGUACGGAACAACAGUUGGAAACGACUGCUAAUACCGUAUGUGCCCUAUGGGGGAAAGAUUUAUCGCCUAAGGAUGGGCCCGCGUUGGAUUAGCUAGUUGGUGGGGUGAAGGCCUACCAAGGCGACGGUCCAUAGCUGGUCUGAGAGGAUGAUCAGCCACACUGGGACUGAGACACGGCCCAGACUCCUACGGGAGGCAGCAGUGGGGAAUAUUGGACAAUGGGGGCAACCCUGAUCCAGCCAUGCCGCGUGAGUGAUGAAGGCCCUAGGGUUGUAAAGCUCUUUCAGCGAGGAGGAUAAUGACGUUACUCGCAGAAGAAGCCCCGGCUAACUUCGUGCCAGCAGCCGCGGUAAUACGAAGGGGGCUAGCGUUGUUCGGAAUCACUGGGCGUAAAGCGCACGUAGGCGGACUUUUAAGUCAGGGGUGAAAUCCCGGGGCUCAACCUCGGAACUGCCUUUGAUACUGGGAGUCUUGAGGCCGAGAGAGGUGAGUGGAAUUCCGAGUGUAGAGGUGAAAUUCGU